AGUGUAGUAUCUGUUCUUAUCAG
rnacentral:piRNA from 4 species